rnacentral:pre_miRNA from 13 species
UAGAGUGCUCCGCCAUGAGAACUGAAUUCCAUAGAUGGUGACAUUUGUAUGCUUCAUCUAUGGGCUCAGUUCUUUUGGCUCGGUACUGUCCA